UACGGAGGGGGCUAGCGUUGUUCGGAAUUACUGGGCGUAAAGCGCGCGUAGGCGGCUUUGUAAGUUAGAGGUGAAAGCCCGGAGCUCAACUCCGGAACUGCCUUUAAGACUGCAUCGCUAGAAUUGUGGAGAGGUGAGUGGAAUUCCGAGUGUAGAGGUGAAAUUCGUAGAUAUCGUGAGGAAGACCAGUGGCGAAGGCGGGUCUCUGGACAGUUCCUGACACUGAGGCACGAAGGCCAGGGGAGCAAACGGG
rnacentral:rRNA from 1 species